UAUUCAAUAAAUAUAUAAAAAUUUCUCACGGCAAACAUGAGACUUUACCAAAAGAAUCUGAGAAAAUAGAUGUUCUUAUUGGUGUACAGGUUAAUUUACUUUGAAAAAUCGGCUUGUGGAGAAACCAAGAAGAGGUAGGUACUUAAUAGAGAAUGCCAAAAAAGUUUAACUGUCGACUGUUUUUAUGGACAUUUUAGGGAAAAUUCAAAGCUUUUUAUGACCAAAACUAACGCAAGUUAAAUGUCAUGA